rnacentral:lncRNA from 1 species
AUUUUUAAAAAGCAGAUAAUUCGACAAUGCUCAGCAAUAUUCUGGUGGAUCAGGAGGAGGAGGCGUGCUGUGGAACAGGGGCGGGCUGUUUGCUGAAAGCUGACGAGGCCAGGCAGCCUUUAAGGCUAGCUGGGCGGCUUGGCAAGAUCCUGUCUCAAAAUUUAAAAAAAAAGUAAAAAGCAAGCUAGGGAUGCUGGAGAGUUGGCUCCAUGGUUAAGAACACUAGUUUUUGCUGAGGAUCCCAGUUCAAUUCCCAGUACCCACAUGGUGGCUCACAACCAUCCCCAGCUGCAGUUCCAGGGGAUCUGACACCCUCUUCUGACCUCUGUACCAGGAACAUAUGUGGUGCACAGAUGUACAUGUAAGCAAAACACUCAUAUACAUAAAAUAAAUAAAUCUUUUUUUAAAAAAACAAACAAAC